rnacentral:ncRNA from 1 species
AAAAAGUUUUAUUUUGGCUUAAAUAAUUAAUAUAUUCAUUAUUAAAAUGUAAUUUUUAAAUUAAAUGGGUUUAUGCAGUUAAUAAUAUUAUAUAAAAAUAGCAAUAUUGUUAUAGAAAUGAAUAAUUAUAUUAACAUAAUUUGUGCCAGCAGUUGCGGUUACACAAUUAAUAUUUUUAAUUUUUUUUAAUUUGUAAUAAAUUUGUUUUUAUAAAUAAAUAAUAUUUAUUUUAGGUGAAAUUUAUAUAAAUAUUAAUUUUAAAAUUUAUUUUUUACUAAAUUUUUAUAUAAACUAGGAUUAGAUACCCUAUUAUUUUAAAUUUAAAUUUUAAAUUAAUUAGUAAUAGUUAAGUUCUUAAAAGUUAAAAAAUCUGGCGGUAUUAUAUAUUUAGAGGAACCUGUUCUGUAAUUGAUAAUCCACGAUUAAUUGUACUAUUUAUUUGCUUGUAUAUCGUCGUAGUUGAAUUUUUUAAAAGAAUUUAAAUUUUCUUAGUUUUAUAAUAAAAUAGAAAUCAGAUCAAGAUGCAGUUUAUUAGAUAGAAGAAAUGGGUUACAUUAAAAUUUAAUUUUAGUAUAAUAAUUUAAAUUUAUUGUUAAAUUGGAUUUAAUAGUAAUUAUAUAUAUAUAUAUAUAAUGAUUUAUAACAUAUAAUAUGCACAUAUUGCCCGUCGCUUUCAUAUAAAGUGAGAUAAGUCGUAACAUAGUAGUUGUACUGGAAAGUGUAGCUAGAAAUCA